AACGAACGCUGGCGGCAGGCUUAACACAUGCAAGUCGAACGCAUCCUUCGGGGUGAGUGGCAGACGGGUGAGUAACGCGUGGGAACGUGCCCUUCAGUUCGGGAUAACCCAGGGAAACUUGGGCUAAUACCGGAUACGUGCGAGAGCAGAAAGAUUUAUCGCUGAAGGAUCGGCCCGCGUCGGAUUAGCUAGUUGGUGGGGUAAUGGCUCACCAAGGCGACGAUCAGUAGCUGGUCUGAGAGGAUGAUCAGCCACAUUGGGACUGAGACACGGCCCCAACUCCUACGGGAGGCAGCAGUGGGGAAUAUUGGACAAUGGGCGCAAGCCUGAUCCAGCCAUGCCGCGUGAGUGAUGAAGGCCUUAGGGUUGUAAAGCUCUUUCGUCCGGGACGAUAAUGACGGUACCGGAAGAAGAAGCCCCGGCUAACUUCGUGCCAGCCGCCGCGGUAA
rnacentral:rRNA from 1 species